rnacentral:rRNA from 1 species
AACGAACGCUGGCGGCGCGCCUAACACAUGCAAGUCGAACGGCAGCACGGGAGCAAUCCUGGUGGCGAGUGGCGAACGGGUGAGUAAUGUAUCGGAACGUACCUUUCAGUGGGGGAUAACGUAGCGAAAGUUACGCUAAUACCGCAUAUUCUGUGAGCAGGAAAGCAGGGGAUCGCAAGACCUUGCGCUGAUUGAGCGGCCGAUAUCAGAUUAGCUAGUUGGUGAGGUAAAGGCUCACCAAGGCGACGAUCUGUAGCGGGUCUGAGAGGAUGAUCCGCCACACUGGAACUGAGACACGGUCCAGACUCCUACGGGAGGCAGCAGUGGGGAAUUUUGGACAAUGGGCGCAAGCCUGAUCCAGCCAUGCCGCGUGAGUGAAGAAGGCCUGGUGUAAGACGUCUUCUA